AUUGAACGCUGGCGGCAUGCCUUACACAUGCAAGUCGAACGGCAGCACGGGAGCAAUCCUGGUGGCGAGUGGCGAACGGGUGAGUAAAGUAUCGGAACGUGCCCAGUCGUGGGGGAUAACGUAGCGAAAGUUACGCUAAUACCGCAUACGAUCUAUGGAUGAAAGCGGGGGAUCGCAAGACCUCGCGCGAUUGGAGCGGCCGAUAUCAGAUUAGGUAGUUGGUGGGGUAAAGGCUCACCAAGCCGACGAUCUGUAGCUGGUCUGAGAGGACGACCAGCCACACGGGGACUGAGACACGGCCCAGACUCCUACGGGAGGCAGCAGUGGGGAAUUUUGGACAAUGGGCGAAAGCCUGAUCCAGCCAUGCCGCGUGCAGGAUGAGGGCCUUCGGGUUGUAAACUGCUUUUGUACGGAACGAAAAGGUUUGGCCUAAUAAGCUGAGCUCAUGACGGUACCGUAAGAAUAAGCACCGGCUAACUACGUGCCAGCCGCCGCCGUAACAC
rnacentral:rRNA from 1 species